CGUCGAACCAAAGUUUCUUGCCGAAGGCCCAAGCUGGAGCACACCCAGCAUUUUUUAAAGCAUUCAAGGUUACCCCUUGGUGCCUGCAACUAAUGGAAGGUCAGUAGCAGACUGAGUUGGUUGUACUACAUUAUUAGUGAUGACUUCAUUUGGUUCUUCGAUGGUCGGCUCCAUCAGAAUUGGAUUUGUGGCACUUCUUGGACAUUCCUGAGCAGAUGGCAGAUCAAAGACUUGUGCCGACCGUGACGUCCAUUUGCGUGGGAGAGAAGUUUAUCUACCAAGAAAGGU